GACGAACGCUGGCGGCGUGCUUAACACAUGCAAGUCGAACGGAAAGGCCCUGCUUUUGUGGGUUGCUCGAGUGGCGAACGGGUGAGUAACACGUGAGUAACCUGCCCUUGUCUUUGGGAUAACUUCAGGAAACUGGGGCUAAUACCGGAUAGGAGCUCCUGCUGCAUGGUGGGGGUUGGUAAGUUUCGGCGGUUGGGGAUGGACUCGCGGCUUAUCAGCUUGUUGGUGGGGUAGUGGCUUACCAAGGCUUUGACGGGUAGCCGGCCUGAGAGGGUGACCGGCGACAUUGGGACUGAGAGACGGCGCAGACGCCUACGGGAGGCAGAAGUGGGGAAUAUUGCACAAUGGGCGGAAGCCUGAUGCAGCAACGCCGCGUGCGGGAUGACGGCCUUCGGGUUGUAAACCGCUGUCGACUGUGACGAAGCGUGAGUGACGGUAAUGGGUAAAGAAGCACCGGCUAACUACGUG
rnacentral:rRNA from 1 species